rnacentral:lncRNA from 1 species
AGAGCACAACCCAUAUGACUCCGUGACCCGAUGAUAACUUGUGGGAGAAAACCAUAGAACUAAAAAUAAGUCACAGAGCUGAUGGGGGUAGAAACAAAAAGACUGCAAAGGCAAGCUUCUGGUGCUUUCCUGGACCGUCCACUAGCCAGACGACACGAUUCAGAAACUGCGAAAACCCACAAGCUCUUCCUUGUUAAAGCCUCACAGGGGCUUUUCUCACAGCUAUAGGCUCACUGAUGUCUCUAGCGGCAGACACCAGCAGGACCCAGCAGGACCCAGCAGGACCCAGCAGGACCCAGCAGGACCCAGCAGGACCCAGCAGGACCCAGCAGGACCCAGCAGGACCCAGCGCUCAGGGUACAUCAUGCAUCCUUAUAAACACCCUUCCCGAGUCUUCCUUCAGACUCGCUUUCUUUCAUCUUUUGACCAUGCAACAACUCCUAGCUAAAUUCAGCAAUGGAAAUGUUCAUAUGCUUGCCCCAUAAGCAAGCCACAAGAUUCACGGGAAGCUGUGUUUACCCUGGAACACAGUACAAGGAAGGAACAUGGGGAAGAGCAGUACCAUUGGCCAAUUUCACUUGACCUACCAAGAUCACACAGGUUGCAUUUCAAACUCUGAAGUGUAGUUCUACUUAAAGUGUCACCUUGGAGAUAAAUUAUCCUCUG